ACGCACGCUGGCGGCGUGCUUCACACAUGCAAGUCGAACGGAAAGGCCCUGCUUGCAGGGUGCUCGAGUGGCGAACGGGUGAGUAACACGUGGGUGAUCUGCCCCUUACUUUGGGAUAAGCCUGGGAAACUGGGUCUAAUACUGGAUAGGACCAUGCUGUAGGUGGUGUGGUGGAAAGAUUAGUUUCGGUAAGGGAUGAGCUCGCGGCCUAUCAGCUUGUUGGUGGGGUAAUGGCCUACCAAGGCGUCGACGGGUAGCCGGCCUGAGAGGGUGGACGGCCACAUUGGGACUGAGAUACGGCCCAGACUCCUACGGGAGGCAGCAGUGGGGAAUAUUGCACAAUGGGCGCAAGCCUGAUGCAGCGACGCCGCGUGGGGGAUGACGGCCUUCGGGUUGUAAACUCCUUUCAGCCAUGACGAAGCCCUUGUGGUGACGGUAGUGGUAGAAGAAGCACCGGCUAACUACGUG
rnacentral:rRNA from 1 species